rnacentral:misc_RNA from 1 species
GUAGAUCUAUGAAUUUGCUUUUUGUUCUAAAAAAAAGCAAAUUCAUAGAUCUACAAUGCAGUAAAUAGCACAAAUGAACUGAUUUAGAACACAGAAAAUAGCACAAAUGUACUACAAUACACAUAUAUUGCAUAUGCCACUAAAAAUUAGUUUAUUCCAGGAGAUAAAACACAGAGAUAAGGAUGAGAUGGGUUGUAUCCUUCUAAAUGGGGGCAGAUUCGAUGAUAUAUACAAAUGAACGACAGAAAAAUAAACAAGACUAUCUCAUAUAUAUGGAGCCUUCCUUUCUCUUUUAUUAUCAGCUGACAUGCACAUCUCACUCGAUUCAAAUGCAGUGGAUGACUGUUUACUCAGAAGUCUCACAAACGAAAUGAUCAACAGCUGUGGCCAAAAUAUGGAGUGCACCUAGCCCAGCUAAAGCAAUCCCAAAAGCUUCUCUUCUUGUUCCUCC